GACGAACGCUGGCGGCGUGCUUAACACAUGCAAGUCGAACGGAAAGGCCCUGCUUUUGUGGGGUGCUCGAGUGACGAACGGGUGAGUAACACGUGAGUAACCUGCACUUGACUUUGGGAUAACUUCAGGAAACUGGGGCUAAUACCGGAUAGGAGCUCCUGCUGCAUGGUGGGGGUUGGAAAGUUUCGGCGGUUGGGGAUGGACUCGCGGCUUAUCAGCUUGUUGGUGUGGUAGUGGCUUACCAAGGCUUUGACGGGUAGCCGGCCUGAGCGGGUGACCGGCCACGUUGGGACUGAGAUACGGCCCAGACUCCUACGGUAGGCAGCAGUGGGGAAUAGUGCACUAUGGGCGGAAGCCUGAUGUAGCAACGCCGCGUGCGGGAUGACGGCCUUCGGGUUGUAAACCGCUUUCGCCUGUGACGAAGCGUGAGUGACGGUAAUGGGUAAAGAAGCACCGGCUAACUACGUG
rnacentral:rRNA from 1 species